CCUACGGGGUGCAGCAGUGAGGAAUAUUGGUCAAUGGACGAGAGUCUGAACCAGCCAAGUAGCGUGAAGGAUGACUGUCCUAUGGGUUGUAAACUUCUUUUAUAUGGGAAUAAAAUGUUCCACGUGUGGGAUUUUGUAUGUACCAUAUGAAUAAGGAUCGGCUAACUCCGUGCCAGCAGCCGCGGUAAUACGGAGGAUCCGAGCGUUAUCCGGAUUUAUUGGGUUUAAAGGGAGCGUAGGUGGAUUGUUAAGUCAGUUGUGAAAGUUUGCGGCUCAACCGUAAAAUUGCAGUUGAAACUGGCAGUCUUGAGUACAGUAGAGGUGGGCGGAAUUCGUGGUGUAGCGGUGAAAUGCUUAGAUAUCACGAAGAACUCCGAUUGCGAAGGCAGUUCACUGGACUGCAACUGACACUGAGGCUCGAAAGUGUGGGUAUCAAACAGGAUUAGAUACCCGGGUAGUC
rnacentral:rRNA from 1 species